UCCCUGAUGGUCUAGUGGUCAGGAUUCGGCGCUCUCACCGCCACAGCCAGGGUUCGAUUCCCGGUCAGGGAA
rnacentral:tRNA from 1 species